UGGCUCAAUGGUUGAGCGUUAAACUCAAAAACUAAAGUUCAUGGGUUCGAAUCCCAG
rnacentral:tRNA from 1 species